UACGCAGGUGGCAAGCGUUAUCCGGAAUUAUUGGGCGUAAAGAGCGCGCAGGUGGUUGAUUAAGUCUGAUGUGAAAGCCCACGGCUUAACCGUGGAGGGUCAUUGGAAACUGGUCGACUUGAGUGCAGAAGAGGGAAGUGGAAUUCCAUGUGUAGCGGUGAAAUGCGUAGAGAUAUGGAGGAACACCAGUGGCGAAGGCGGCUUCCUGGUCUGUAACUGACACUGAGGCGCGAAAGCGUGGGGAGCAAACAGGAUUAGA
rnacentral:rRNA from 1 species